rnacentral:rRNA from 1 species
AAGCAUAUCAAUAAGCGGAGGAAAAGAAACCAACAGGGAUUGCCUCAGUAACGGCGAGUGAAGCGGCAAGAGCUCAAAUUUGAAAUCUGGCUCCUUCGGGGCCCGAGUUGUAAUUUGGAGAGGAUGCUUCGGGCGUGGCCCCCAUCUAAGUGCCCUGGAACGGGCCGUCAUAGAGGGUGAGAAUCCCGUCUGGGAUGGGUGGUCCCGCCCGUGUGAAGCUCCUUCGAAGAGUCGAGUUGUUUGGGAAUGCAGCUCUAAGAGGGUGGUAAAUUUCAUCUAAAGCUAAAUAUUGGCCGGAGACCGAUAGCGCACAAGUAGAGUGAUCGAAAGAUGAAAAGCACUUUGAAAAGAGAGUUAAACAGCACGUGAAAUUGUUGAAAGGGAAGCGUUGGCAACCAGACUCGCCCGGGAGGGCUCAGCCGGCACGUGUGCCGGUGCACUCCCCCCCGGGCGGGCCAGCGUCGGUUUGGGCGGUCGGUCAAAGGCCCCGGGAAUGUAGCACCCUCCGGGGUGCCUUAUAGCCCGAGGCGCCAUGCGACCUGCCCGGACCGAGGAACGCGCUUCGGCUCGGACGCUGGCGUAAUGGUUGUCAACGGCCCGUCUUGAAACACGGACCAAGGAGUCUAACAUCUAUGCGAGUGUUCGGGUGUCAAACCCGUCCGCGCAGUGAAAGCGAACGGAGGUGGGAACCCCUUCGGGGGUGCACCAUCGACCGAUCCUGAUGUCUUCGGAUGGAUUUGAGUAAGAGCAUAGCUGUUGGGACCCGAAAGAUGGUGAACUAUGCCUGAAUAGGGCGAAGCCAGAGGAAACUCUGGUGGAGGCUCGCAGCGGUUCUGACGUGCAAAUCGAUCGUCGAAUUUGGG